rnacentral:ncRNA from 1 species
CUCAUCCAGAGCAGUGGAGGGACUGGCCCUGUGAAGCUGCGGCAACCAUUGACUUCGUCAAAACGGUGCCAAUUCCUUUAGGCAUAGGCCUAUAAGAUGAGA